AGUGAACGCUGGCGGCGUGCUUAACACAUGCAAGUCGAACGAGAACGGAAUAUAGCUUGCUAUAUUUGUCAGCUAAGUGGUGCACGGGUGAGUAAUGUAUAGAUAACCUGCCCUUAAGAAAGGAAUAACAGUUGGAAACGACUGCUAAUGCCCUAUAUGCCUUUAAUACAUAAGUAUGCAAGGGAAACGCUUUAGUGCUUAAGGAUGGGUCUGUAUGGUAUCAGCUUGUUGGUGAGGUAAUGGCUCACCAAGGCUAUGACGCCUAACUAGUUUGAGAGGAUGAUCAGUCACACUGGAACUGAGACACGGUCCAGACUCCUACGGGAGGCAGCAGUGGGGAAUAUUGCACAAUGGACGAAAGUCUGAUGCAGCAACGCCGCGUGGAGGAUGACACAUUUCGGUGCGUAAACUCCUUUUAUAUAGGAAGAUAAUGACGGUACUAUAUGAAUAAGCACCGGCUAACUCCGUGCCAGCCGCCGCUGUAA
rnacentral:rRNA from 1 species